rnacentral:rRNA from 1 species
UACGUAGGAGGCGAGCGUUGUCCGGAGUUACUGGGCGUAAAGGGUGCGCAGGCGGCGUUCCGCGUGGCGAGAUGAAAUCUCCUGGCUUACCUGGGAGGGUGGUCGCCAGACGGGAGCGCUUGAGGGUCGGAGAGGGGCGUGGAAUUCCGGGUGGAGCGGUGAAAUGCGUAGAGAUCCGGAGGAACACCGACGGCGUAGGCAGCGCCCUGGACGACACCUGACACUGAGGAGCGAAAGCCAGGGGAGCAAACGGG